ACAAGCGGCGGAGCAUGCGGAUUAAUUCGAUGCAACGCGAAGAACCUUACCAAGGCUUGACAUACACCGGUAACGCCCAGAGAUGGGUGCCCCUUUGUGGUCGGUGUACAGGUGGUGCAUGGUUGUCGUCAGCUCGUGUCGUGAGAUGUUGGGUUAAGUCCCGCAACGAGCGCAACCCUCGUCCUAUGUUGCCAGCGGGUCAUGCCGGGGACUCAUGGGAGACUGCCGGGGUCAACUCGGAGGAAGGUGGGGAUGACGUCAAAUCAUCAUGCCCCUUAUGUCUUGGGCUUCACGCAUGCUACAAUGGCCGGUACAAAGGGCUGCGAUACCGCGAGGUGGAGCGAAUCCCAGAAAGCCGGUCUCAGUUCGGAUUGGGGUCUGCAACUCGACCCCAUGAAGUCGGAGUCGCUAGUAAUCGCAGAUCAGCAACGCUGCGGUGAAUACGUUCCCGGGCCUU
rnacentral:rRNA from 1 species